rnacentral:rRNA from 1 species
UGAGGAAUAUUGGUCAAUGGGCGAGAGCCUGAACCAGCCAAGUAGCGUGAAGGAUGACUGCCUAUGGGUUGUAAACUUCUUUUAUAAAGGAAUAAAGUCGGGUAUGCAUACCCGUUUGCAUGUACUUUAUGAAUAAGGAUCGGCUAACUCCGUGCC